CAGUCGCCGCGGUAAUGCGUAGGGUGCAAGCGUUAAUCGGAAUUACUGGGCGUAAAGCGUGCGCAGGCGGUUUGUUAAGACAGAUGUGAAAUCCCCGGGCUCAACCUGGGAACUGCAUUUGUGACUGGCAAGCUAGAGUGUGGCAGAGGGGGGUGGAAUUCCGCGUGUAGCAGUGAAAUGCGUAGAUAUGCGGAGGAACACCGAUGGCGAAGGCAGCCCCCUGGACCAACACUGACGCUCAUGCACGAAAGCGUGGGGAGCAAACAGGAUUAGAUACCCGCGUAGUCCCUGUCUCUUAUAC
rnacentral:rRNA from 1 species